UCCAGCCGUCAACCUUCGACAGUGCCAACCGACCUUCUAUGAAUCCAUCUGGUCUCCUCCAGUAAAAGAACUUCCACAAUGCCUUCCGAAUUCCGCUAUCGGCCGACCUUCUGUCAGAUUUCUCGAGCAAUCGGACCUCUCCGGUGGACAAUCUUCAGACGAGCUUCCACAUCAGACAAAUCCCAGACGGACUUUUCUGACAAUCGGAUUUCUACCGAACUUCACCAACAGAAAGUCUCCAUCCGAGCUUCUACAACAGAUGACUCCCGCCUGUAGCAUCAGCGC
rnacentral:lncRNA from 1 species